rnacentral:rRNA from 1 species
CGUAGGUGGCAAGCGUUGUCCGGAAUUAUUGGGCGUAAAGCGCGCGCAGGCGGAUCAGUCAGUCUGUCUUAAAAGUUCGGGGGCUUAACCCCGUGAUGGGAGUGGAAACUGCUGAUCUAGAGUAUCGGAGAGGAAAGUGGAAUUCCUAGUGUAGCGGUGAAAUGCGUAGAUAUUAGGAAGAACACCAGUGGCGAAGGCGACUUUCUGGACGAAACUAGACGCUGAGGCGCGAAAGCCAGGGGGAGCGAACGGGAUU